rnacentral:tRNA from 1 species
AUGGGUGUAGCUCAGUCGGUAGAGCGCCGGUCUCCAAAACCGGAUGUCGGGGGUUCGAGCCCCUCCGCCCAUGCCA